UUCAUAUGACUCAUACGAUGAUAAUGCAAGAAAAAAAAUUGAGAAAUAAUCAAAAUUAUAAAUAAGAGCGCAUAAAAAUUGUAUGUUGAUCGAAAUUGGAAAACUUAAAAUAGAUAAUAGGAAACACGUAAAGGCGUAAUGUUUACUGGUCCAAAUAAACAAAGAAUCCUCAUAAAGCUAAAUGUUUGUGCCAGGUUCUGUCUCAUUGUCUAGACGUUGGCUUUUAUUUUAUGUUUUAUAUUUAUGCUUUCCUCAGUUCAUAGCAAAUUUUCUUCGAUUCGAGAAAAUAUUCAUUUUACAAUUUUAUAUCCGCGUAUAUUUUUGGGAGAUUCGUAAAUAUUUGUAUCUUGCUACAAAUUUAAUGUAUUUUUUUACUAUUUUACAAAUUGAUGUUGUUAAUAACAUCAAUUUCCAACGGGAUAAAAUGUAUCUAUCUAUUAAAUCUUCUUAGUUUGAUAAAUCUUGUUGAACCAACAAAUUUUUACAACCGAUAACCUUUACCUUUCAAAUAAGUCUUGAUAGGUACGUAAUUCUCACAUGAUUACACCGAUCAUAAUCAGUUAUGGUUGUCCUUUUUGCGCCAACAGGCUUUAGAAUAAGAAAGAUACUGAGACGGUUUCAGCCGCGGGACGAAAACCUUGCACACCGUGUAAUUAUUAAAACCUCAAUCAGGUGGGUCGAUUGCGUCUUGCGCAAAACUUCUUUUCCAGCUACAGCGGCAACCGAGCUCAAAUGAAAGUGCAAUGGCACAAUGUAAAGGCAGCUGUUGCUUCGAACCAGCUUCUGCGGAGGUAUAAUUGCCGUUUCCAUCGCAAAGAGGCGCGCCUCGUCAUCCCAAGUAAACUGGGACGACUCGCCAAGUCUUGGACGAAGUCUUAGUCAUGCGGUUUUAAUUAUCAAUGGGUUCUGUUAUUUUUGGGUGCAGAAUUAUUCUUGUCCGUUACUAUUUUCAAACGGGCGAGUGUUUCGGAUGUUCGGAUUUGUGCAAAAAUUUGGGUCGAACACGUGGACGGUAUUUUUUGUUCCAAUGAAAUUUUGAUUAUAACAAAACCUCUCAACCGAUUUUAAUGAACAAUAAUGAAAGCUUAAUCUUCCAUCUGAGUGCAAAAGUGUUAAGAAUAAGAUUUGCUACAACUUUUAUAUUAAAAGUUCGUAUAGAUGGUAAAUAAUUCGAAGGUCGAUCAUUGACAUUUUAAAAGUUUUAUUUUAUAAUUCGUAAUGGGUGCUCAUUCAAAUAUUGCCUCGUGCGUGGUUCAAGGCACAUACUGUUCUUUACUUCCUGUAGGAGUAGCUCGUAACGCCAUUCAUUUCCUGUUAACAAGAACGUGCUCGGUGUCCGAGUACACGCGUUAACUGAGUUCAAUAUCUUCUUGUAAUACAUGAGCGGCUUCUUAUUAUGUAUAAGGCUAUUGUAAUGCAUAUCUAAAGUUGGUUUCUCACAUGACUACCACUUCGAUUUAUGAUCGAAACCGAAAAAAUGUUAUUACUUCGCAACCUCCUUUCGUUUACAAUUAUAUCGAUUCGAUGGGAAAGCUUAUUUUUUCUUAUUUCUUAAGUUAUUGAGUAUCUUUUAUAGAGUUUAAUUUAGCUUUAAUGUACAUUUAAAGUGUUAAUUUAAAAUUAAAAAAAAAGAAACUUCAUCAAAAUAGGAAGCCACAAUCGUAAGAACGAGUUGCUUUUAUCGAUUUCUUUCGUCAUUAAAAUGAAGUGUUGUCUUGGUGAAGUGUUUGAAGCCGUUAUUUAAAAAAAGUCUACAGAAAACUAACAGUCAGCAGUAAUUAGAUCUAUUUCUUGUUCGCGCAUUGUAACGUAGAAUAAUUGAGACUAACAGGACCGUCUCUCGUCCAUCAGAUUAAACUUUUUCGAAUAAAAGUGUAAGUACACGUUGUAGAGGAGACGUAAUCGAGGACGAGAUGAUUGUUUCUUCUCGCUUCGUAGUGAAGAAGGAGCUUCUUCCAUCAUCUUGGAACGUUCUUUGUUCGGGAAGAGCAAGUGUGUUGCCGCACGAAACCCAGGCCGGUUUCCUUUGUGCCGCAACCAGUUUGUAUUUUUUCUUUAACCGAGCACUAAGAACCUUACCGAGCCCCUGUUUUCCUCAUGCUUUUACUUCGAACUGUUCGAAUUUAACUUGGACUCUAUAGAAAGUGGAUACCAAAUGUGGAACAGAAAAUUGCGUCGAAUAGAAACAACAAAAUUGCACGUGUGCGGCUUAUCAUUUCAAAGUAUCGUUGUAAACCCAAAAUGAUUGUUUUUAACCUUUAUAUAAUCAUCACAAGUUAAAUUUCUCUUCGAGGUCUUCAACCCACUGGCUUAGCUCAAGGUUACCCAUUCAAGUUCACGCAGAAGAACCACCAGCUGCACUUGGCGCGUUCGAUGGCCUCCUGAGCCCGUCGAAGAGUUCAAAGCAACGACGAAAAAAUAUUCUUCGACCAUCAUGCACCACUUAUUUUCCCUAACAGCAUGUACAGCGAGCGUAAAAUUACUUCUCUUUAAGAUGCCUGUAAUUGAAAAACUUUAUACAUUACUUGAAUAAUAAAAAUCUA